rnacentral:rRNA from 1 species
UACGUAGGUGGCAAGCGUUGUCCGGAAUUACUGGGCGUAAAGGGCGCGUAGGCGGCUUGGUAAGUCGGGGGUGAAAGUCAGCGGCUCAACCGCUGGACUGCCUUCGAGACUGCCUGGCUUGAGCAUGGUAGAGGCUGGCGGAAUUCCCGGUGUAGCGGUGGAAUGCGUAGAGAUCGGGAAGAACAUCGGUGGCGAAGGCGGCCAGCUGGGCCAUUGCUGACGCUGA